UACGGGAGUGGCAAGCGUUAUCCGGAAUUAUUGGGCGUAAAGCGUCCGCAGGCGGCCUUGUAAGUCUGUUGUUAAAGCGUGGAGCUUAACUCCAUUUAAGCAAUGGAAACUGCAAGGCUUGAGUGUGGUAGGGGCAGAGGGAAUUCCCGGUGUAGCGGUGAAAUGCGUAGAUAUCGGGAAGAACACCAGUGGCGAAGGCGCUCUGCUGGGCCAUAACUGACGCUCAUGGACGAAAGCCAGGGGAGCGAAAGGGAUUAGAUACCCCUGUAGUCCUGGCCGUAAACGAUGAACACUAGGUGUCGGGGGAAUCGACCCCCUCGGUGUCGUAGCCAACGCGUUAAGUGUUCCGCCUGGGGAGUACGCACGCAAGUGUGAAACUCAAAGGAAUUGACGGGGGCCCGCACAAGCGGUGGAGUAUGUGGUUUAAUUCGAUGCAACGCGAAGAACCUUACCAGGGUUUGACAUCCUGCGAAUCCCUUGGAAACGAGGGAGUGCCUUCGGGAGCGCAGUGACAGGUGGUGCAUGGCUGUCGUCAGCUCGUGUCGUGAGAUGUUGGGUUAAGUCCCGCAACGAGCGCAACCCACGUCGUUAGUUGCCAGCAUUCAGUUGGGCACUCUAGCGAGACCGCCGGUGAUAAACCGGAGGAAGGUGUGGAUGACGUCAAGUCAUCAUGCCCCUUACAUCCUGGGCUACACACGUACUACAAUGCUACGGACAAAGGGCAGCAAACUCGCGAGAGCUAGCAAAUCCCAUAAACCGUGGCUCAGUUCAGAUCGUAGGCUGCAACUCGCCUACGUGAAGGAGGAAUCGCUAGUAAUCGCAGGUCGGCAUACUGCGGUGAAUACGUUCCCGGGCCU
rnacentral:rRNA from 1 species